rnacentral:lncRNA from 1 species
UUUUAUAUACUCUGCCAGCUUCGUUUGAUUGAUUUUAUUUUUUCUUUCUACUAUAUUAUACUGGGAUUAAUCGCAUGAAAAUAUCGAAUUUAUUUUUCAAACGCGUAUAGAGUUUCCUUCGGCAAUGCGACGAGAGGUUCGAGUGUACGAGUGAGUCUCGAGUGGCUCUGGUAUAUAAGGUGAUCUUUUAUGAAAGCGAACCUUUGAAAUUCGAUGCCAGUCGCUUUCGAUUUUUUCUCCUAUGCAUAUACGUAACUCAUUAGGAGGCGAGUGACAGGUGCUUAUACUCGUUGAGUGUAUUGAGUGUGUCGCGGGGAACGAGUCGAUGCAUCGCGCGGGUCGAUUCGAAAUUAAAACCAUUGAUUAUGGCCUUUAUUAAAAUUUUUCACACUUUUUUUUCUCAUGUGUAUAUAGGCAACUCAUUAGGCGGACUGACGGGCGCUUACUCGCUGAGUGUCGCGAGGAAUACGAGCCGAUGCAUCGCGGAAAAUUAUAACUAUCGAUUAUAUCCUUCUUUACGAUUUUCACACCGUUAUGACUAUAUACAAGCGCUUCGUGUGCGGAUGCAUAUUUAACCGUAAAAUUGCCAACGCGACAGAGCCGCAAUUGCGAAACAUUUUCCUUUCGUUUCUAAUAUUCCCACGUCACUAUAUACCCGCAUGUUAUUGCACUCGUCCGUUUCUCUCGCAAAACAUAUACCCAGCUUACGUUCAUCGGCAGCAAUUUUCGAACGAUGUAAGUAAAAUUCUAAAAUCCUAAAAAAAACACCGAUUGUCUUCUGACGAAAUACCGUCUAGUUCUAGGUAAAACAUUAGCCACAGGAAGCUACACGUAUGCAUGCGCGAGUCGGACAAACAUGGCGCGCAGUCGCCUCUCUCUCUUUCUCUCUCUCUCUCUCGACAAUUGUGUAAGUAAACCUACUCCACAGGUAUACGUAUAAUACGCGCAUGCGAUCACGCGCCGCUCGUUAUAUAUAUACGCACCGUUGGCAUGCAGAGACGAUAAGAGAAAACGCAUACGUGCGUGUAAAUAUUUUCGUGAAUUUUUUUUUUUUUUUUUAUACGACAGUAAAGUCUCGAGAGGAAAGCGAGUGUAGAGUCGUAACGGUACACUGGAAAAAUCGUUACGGCCUUGCGUUCAGCCACGACAAAAAGCCUAAUUUCGAUCGUAUCAGUGCGCGACGCUGAUGAUUAUCGUCGCGUUCGAGGUAUUUCUGUUAAAAUAUGUAGUUGAAAGAAAAAAGAACGUAUCUACGUGUAUCGCGUGCAUCGAAAAAAUUAACCGAUCGGCUAAUCCACUCUAAUUAAUCUAUCAUCGACGUGCGAAGGUCCCGAUUUGACAACGAGCCUCUGUGUACACGUAGAUCUCGAAGAAGCUCGAGAUCUUUAUUUAUCAUUUACCGCCUCUGGAAAUCCCCGGAGCCUUGGAGUGUAUUUUAUCGUUCGGGUCUUCCAAAGGCUCGAGAAAUUCUCUCAACUGAACGAUAUGACCGAAUAUUCCGAUUAAAUUUUUCAGUAUCAUACAACCAAAAAGCAUAAUCGCGCAGGUAAUAAAUCGAAGCCGAUGACAGAUGUUCCGAAAUUAGUCACUGAGUGAUCCGCGAGGCAUUUAUUUUUCGUUGUAUAAGCUCGGAGAGAUAAGAGCGUUAUCGGGAAUUAUAGCGCUUCGCUAGACAACAAAGCCGUGUCUUUUAUGCAUUAGGCAUAGAAGCCGUCGUCGCGUCGAAUUGAUAACGCGGCUCUUUUCACAACUGCGUCUUCCUCCGCUCUUUAAAAAAAAGAAGGUCGGCUCUGUGUCUCGCCGAACAAAAACCCGAACGUUGCGAAAAAAAAAAACGUAAGUAUAUUCAGCGAAGAUAACGAACACAGCGUCGUAGUCGUCAUCGAUGAGUAAUUAAGAAAAUAGAACGACGAUCCCUCUCGCGACCGGUGUAAUUUCCUCGAGCGCAUCCACGAAAUCGGCGGAAGCCUGUGACGCGGGCGUUUUCCGAUCCAUGUGACUCACGCUGAGCCACAGUGGGAAAAUCGCUGUAGCGUGUGGUGCUGCGCGAUUCGUUGAACCUGAUUAUACGCGCUGCAGAGCGGGCUUUGCAAUGCGGAUGGGAGACGAGUUCGUUGCGCGAGGAAACUGUAUAUUGCUAUAAGCUGAUGCAAGAGGUGAAAAAUCGUCGAGUGUUCGGUGGGAAUUUUAACGUUUGAUUGGCGCUUUGUACACGUGUACCUAUACGAGCUUCUCUGCUUCUAAUUUUAAGCAAAACAAUUGCGCUUCUGCCAAGAAUCCUGUGUAUGCACACAUCGCUUGGCGAAAAUACGUCGAUUAGCGAGAUGAUCGAUGUCGAGGACAAUAAACGCUUCUAUAUACCCGUUGAUUCAACGUAAUAUAUAAUACAUAACAGAGGGCGUGGCUGCAUCUAUCAUAACAUAACGGACAAUUACGCGCAUUACGUGGAUUAACAUUCGCACUGGUCUUCCUUCCAAAAAUCUCCCACGCACCGGCUUAUCCUCCCUAAUGAAAUAAUCGCUUACAAUUAGGACUCGUUUCUACUCACGCACACACACACGCACACACGCACACAAAAUCCAUCUCUAAAAUAUCCCCUACAAUACGUGCGCUCAACGCAGCGUUAACCGGUCGAUUUUAAAAGGAAGUCUCGGGACCGCCGCGCCGGCCUUGGCUUUUGUCCGAUGUUAAGCCACGUGCGUGUCUGCGUGUGCUGUAUAUGGCAGUCUCGCUUUUUUUUCUUUUUUUUUGUCGAACGCGACGAUUCGCCGUGAUGCUAAAGAGAUGCAGCGACGAUGAUAUGAAUGGAGAGGUAUUUCCGCCGAGGGUUUUCGGAUUUCUCGUGAGGCGAAUGUGAAGACGAACUCGUUUGCGGAUGGCGUAGAGUAUUUUGGUUGAUCAGAAUUUUUUUUUUAAUUCUUCACGGCCGAGACCUUGUCUUUGGGAAAAAGGAGCCGCGUGCACGCUCGAAUCUUGUGUAAAACUUUUGUGUAACGCCGAACACAUAACAAAAAAAAAAGAAAAAAAAGACAAUCUCGCUUUUAUGCGUAAAUAAAAGAAUUUCACCCGCGCACGAGAAAUUUGCCUUCGCGCAUCGAUCGCAGUGCAGCUGUCCCGACGUCGCGCCGGCAUUAACUUCACGGCGCCGUCUAGCCCAUCAUCUCUCUUCCCCAUCGGGAAGUGUGUCGAAGCUCUUCUUCUUCGUCUCAUUGUGUGUGUGUGUGUGUGUACACGCGUAAAGAAUCCGAAACACAUCCCGAAAGAGGAUUCCCGGUUUCUUUGUGUGUGCCGGAUCAGCGCUUCGGUGCACGUGCACCGAAGAGCGCCUGACAACUGUGAGUCGGAUGUGUGCGCGCGUAAUUUGGAUUUAUCGUCAUAGUGUCUUCUCGGUUUGAUUAAACAGUCGAGUGUCGUCGAUGCAGAUAUUAUAUUGAUGUGUGUGUGUGUUUUUUUUUUUUUUUAUUGAUUUACGGAGAAGAAGUAGUAAGCCGCGCCGUGAACAGCGAUGAACUCAUACAUGCGCUUAUCGGAACGCGAUAACGCCGAUCGAUACGCCGAUUAUAUCGACAUACGUGUCGCCGAGAGAAAAACUGUGCGUUAACAUUAUUCGUCGCUUCGUCGAAAUCGAUUUUGGAGUUGAGGACUGGCGAUUUUCCUGAAUAUUCAGUUGAAAACGUGACGCAGUUGCGCGCUAGCUUUUUUUUCGAUCCCGAUGAAUAAUCGAUCGAUGCUCGAGAGAAACGCAGCCUGCAGCGCUCGCGAUCACAUAUAUACGCGAAGCGCCUCGUCGCUCGACCGGAUUUUCCCCCCUUGCAUACAAUGUAUACACACUCGAAAUCUCUCCUCUCCUCGGCGGUUUAUUCUCGGGCCGCCGCCUUCUAUCGGCCUUUUUUUUCGAAUUCUUGCGAAGCGCAGCGACUCGAGUCUCAAGGCGAAACGAUGGAAUGCACGGCAGAUGUUUCGCUUCUCGCGCGCGGGUCGUUGUGCUUUUUUAUCAUCUUAUUUAUCCCGAUUAUUCGAAGUCGAUGAGAGAACGUUUCGCCGAUAAAUAAAUAAUAUAUAAACGUAACGGCGGUGUUUCGAGAGAAUUUCGCGGCGGGAUAUGCAAGGGGAGACCGGUUUUCUCCCCGUUAAAGCGUACAGUUCCGCGCACGGGGGAUUCCAAGGCCGCAGCACACGCCCAAAAAGCUAUUCCGGGUGCGCGUGCACUCGGCCACUCUCGCUUUCCUUUCUUCCGUCCGCAAGGCGUCUCGCUCUUUAUUUAUUUCGAAGAGAGAUAUACCAGAGCCGAUCAAGUGCGCGUCGGAAAUCUCUCGUAUGUUCGCUCUGACACUUCGCACAAGUCGAUAUCGCGCGACUCCGCAAUCGAGGAAAAUACGCGGCUGUUAUCGGCGUCGUAUAAUAUGUAUGGUAAAAAGAAUCCGUCGCUCUUACCUGAAGCUCAACGAGAAGGAGAAUAAAAAUCGGCAACGAUCCAACGAUCGGCUCACAAAACACCACUACGAAAUCUCACGAGAAGAGAGAGAGGGAAACGUGCGCUCGCGUCGAAGUUCGACUCGGGACUGAAGUACUGACGGCCGCGACAGCGACUCUCGAUCGACUCAAGACUCUAUAGUGCGCAGGUUUUCCCGAAGCGCGACUAGCGCUGGCUUUGCGUGAUCGCGAUGAUGUCAUUGUUGGCUCUCUUUUUUGGGAAUCUACGCGAGCGCGAAGCGUUGUUGUUUUUUUUUUUUUUUUCGAGGGGAGAGAUUAGGUUGCCAGACUUUGGCGUCGGGAGAUCAUCGUUGAAGGAGUUUUGCUUUUGUGAUGGAUGCGGUGUGUAUUUUUUGAAACAUAGAGAGUUUGUCGAAUAAGACUUGGUAGUUUCUGCUAUUGGCUGAAGAUAAAUAAAAUAAUAAAUUCAGCAAUUCGGCUACAAUUUUAA